rnacentral:rRNA from 1 species
AGAUUGAACGCUGGCGGCAUGCCUUACACAUGCAAGUCGAACGGCAGCGCGGGAGCAAUCCUGGCGGCGAGUGGCGAACGGGUGAGUAAUAUAUCGGAACGUGCCUAGUAGUGGGGGAUAGCCCGGCGAAAGCCGGAUUAAUACCGCAUACGACCUGAGGGUGAAAGCGGGGGAUCGCAAGACCUCGCGCUACUGGAGCGGCCGAUAUCAGAUUAGCUAGUUGGUGGGUAAAGGCCUACCAAGGCAACGAUCUGUAGUUGGUCUGAGAGGACGACCAGCCACACUGGGACUGAGACACGGCCCAGACUCCUACGGGAGGCAGCAGUGGGAAUUUGGACAUGGGCGCAAGCCUGAUCCAGUAAUGCCGCGUGCGAAGGAAGAACGGCCGUUCGGUUAGUAAACUUGUCGUUUUUGUACGAGG